rnacentral:rRNA from 1 species
GUUUCGGGGGGGAACCCCAAGGGAAUCUUCCGCAAUGGACGAAAGUCUGACGGAGCAACGCCGCGUGAGUGAUGAAGGUUUUCGGAUCGUAAAGCUCUGUUGUUAGGGAAGAACAAGUACCGUUCGAAUAGGGCGGUACCUUGACGGUACCUAACCAGAAAGCCACGGCUAACUACGUGCCAGCAGCCGCGGUAAUACGUAGGUGGCAAGCGUUGUCCGGAAUUAUUGGGCGUAAAGGGCUCGCAGGCGGUUUCUUAAGUCUGAUGUGAAAGCCCCCGGCUCAACCGGGGAGGGUCAUUGGAAACUGGGGAACUUGAGUGCAGAAGAGGAGAGUGGAAUUCCACGUGUAGCGGUGAAAUGCGUAGAGAUGUGGAGGAACACCAGUGGCGAAGGCGACUCUCUGGUCUGUAACUGACGCUGAGGAGCGAAAGCGUGGGGAGCGAACAGGAUUAGAUACCCUGGUAGUCCACGCCGUAAACGAUGAGUGCUAAGUGUUAGGGGGUUCCGCCCUCUUACGUAGCAUUGG